rnacentral:misc_RNA from 1 species
GGAAGGAUCAUUAACACGUAUCCAACGUUAAACAACCCUGUGAACCUUCAUUCCUGCUCUCCUUGUCCCUUGAUAAAGCAAUCCCUGGUAAAUCACGCGAACGGUUGAUUCAGGGACCUCUUUGAUAUGCACUUGGAUUCGAUGCGGCGUCGUAAUUUAGACUUGGGUUCUGGAAGGCCAUCAACGAGUAAAAUCGUUGACGGACGAUAAAGGAUGCUGCCUAAAAGCAGAUCACUGGUCCUCACGGUCAGUGGACAAGUCUCUGGGCUUCGGCCCCCAUAUUAACCCCAAUUUUCCAUUCGGAGGAUGCGGAAACGCUCCUCAUAAAAACGAACAACUGUUAACAAUGGAUAUCUUGGUUCUCGCAACGAUGAAGAACGCAGCGAAAUGCGAUACGUAAUGCGAAUUGCAGAAUUCAGUGAAUCAUCGAAUCUUUGAACGCAAAUUGCGCUCCCGGGUUACCCCCGAGAGCACACCUCUCUGAGUGUCGGUUUAACCAAAUGUCACCAAUUUAUUGGUGUACGACAGACUGAGGGUAAGGAGUCUUGGCUCCUUUCCCUUUAAAUCUCAGCCGCACGACUGUGUGUGUUCGUGGCAAGUUGCUUCACUUAAUUGUGAAUCCAAUCCACAAACCCUACGUUAGGCAGCAAAAGAAACAAAUGAACGAAGCGUGUGAUAACCGCACCUUUCGGGGUACGGUACUCUGAGGUCUGUUUGCCCUAGCGCGUGAGAGAACAAAGUUCUGUCUGUGCGAAAGGUGAAUACUGCUUGGAUGUGCCAGUUGCUGGUUCGCGAUGCCGACGAAAUGGUUUUCUUCCACCCGUCUUGAAACACGGACCAAGGAGUCUAACAUAUAUGCGAGUAUUUGGGUGACAAACCCUGAUGCGUAAUGAAAGUAAAGAGCCGUAAGGCUUGAGGUAGGAAUCUCGCCCUCGGGUGGGAGGCACUAUCGACCGAUCGUUCGCUUGCGGAAGAUUGAGUAAUAGCAUAUCUGUUGGACCCGAAAGAUGGUGAUCUAUGCCUGAACAGGGUGAAGCCAGGGGAAACUCUGGUGGAAGCUCGUAGCGAUACUGACGUGCAAAUCGUUCGUCUGAUUUGGGUAUAGGGCGAAAGACUAAUCGAACCAUCUAGUAGCUGGUUCCCUC